rnacentral:rRNA from 1 species
GAUGAACGCUGGCGGCGUGCCUAAUACAUGCAAGUCGAGCGAACAGACGAGGAGCUUGCUCCUCUGACGUUAGCGGCGGACGGGUGAGUAACACGUGGAUAACCUACCUAUAAGACUGGGAUAACUUCGGGAACCCGGAGCUAAUACCGGAUAAUAUAUUGAACCGCAUGGUUCAAUAGUGAAAGACGGUUUUGCUGUCACUUAUAGAUGGAUCCGCGCCGCAUUAGCUAGUUGGUAAGGUAACGGCUUACCAAGGCAACGAUGCGUAGCCGACCUGAGAGGGUGAUCGGCCACACUGGAACUGAGACACGGUCCAGACUCUGACGGGAGGCAGCAGUAGGGAAUCUUCCGCAAUGGGCGAAAGCCUGACGGAGCAACGCCGCGUGAGUGAUGAAGGUCUUCGGAUCGUAAAACUCUGUUAUUAGGGAAGAACAAAUGUGUAAGUAACUAUGCACGUCUUGACGGUACCUAAUCAGAAAGCCACGGCUAACUACGUG